UGGAAAGACCUUCAAUUGUUCUCUGAACAAUUGGUUUUUAAUUAUUAUUAUUAUUAUUAUUUUUUUCUUCCGCCAAAUUUUGUUCUUGCGCAAAAUUUUUGUUUCACAAUAUGUCGCUUAGAUAUUUCCCAUAUGGUAUCGUAUAGUUUAUGCGCUUUUAAAUUUCACCCUGCUAAGCCGAUCCAUUUUCUAUGUAAGAGUUAUGUCCCUUUUCACUGUUUAACCUCUGUGUGCAUCUCCUUCGUAACAAAAAAAGAUAGCGACAAAAUUCUUUUUACAAAUUGUUCGUUACAUCCUCAGGAAUUUUUGGCUAAUUUGGAUCGAAGCGAUUCGAUGAAAUUUUAUAGGAGUUAUCUACCUUUACAAAAUAAAUUUGUCGGUAUGUUCAUUUAACUCAUAAACGGUUAACUGUAUAACCCUGGAAUGUUUUUAUUUGAGUCCCCUAAGUCCUAACUUAGAAAAUGAGGUCAAGGUCAAAGGUCAAGGUCAAGUUCUCAAUUGUGACUUUUGCUUCUUUUUGUAUUUUCUCCGACACUUUGAAAGAUACAUACUAAAGAACAAGUGCAAAAUGUCAGCUUUAUUGUAAUGAAGAUAUGCUACAUUUAGUCUUAUACAAUUUAAUGGCAUCUUAUAGGAGUU
rnacentral:lncRNA from 1 species